AGUCGAGCGAACAGAGAAGGAGCUUGCUCCUUUGACGUUAGCGGCGGACGGGUGAGUAACACGUGGGCAACCUACCUUAUAGUUUGGGAUAACUCCGGGAAACCGGGGCUAAUACCGAAUAAUCUGUUCCACCUCAUGGUGGAACACUGAAAGACGGUUUCGGCUGUCGCUAUAAGAUGGGCCCGCGGCGCAUUAGCUAGUUGGUGAGGUAACGGCUCACCAAGGCGACGAUGCGUAGCCGACCUGAGAGGGUGAUCGGCCACACUGGGACUGAGACACGGCCCAGACUCCUACGGGAGGCAGCAGUAGGGAAUCUUCCACAAUGGGCGAAAGCCUGAUGGAGCAACGCCGCGUGAGUGAAGAAGGUUUUCGGAUCGUAAAACUCUGUUGUAAGGGAAGAACAAGUACAGUAGUAACUGGCUGUACCUUGACGGUACCUUAUUAGAAAGCCACGGCUAACUACGUGCCAGCAGCCGCGGUAAUACGUAGGUGGCAAGCGUUGUCCGGAAUUAUUGGGCGUAAAGCGCGCGCAGGCGGUCCUUUAAGUCUGAUGUGAAAGCCCACGGCUCAACCGUGGAGGGUCAUUGGAAACUGGGGGACUUGAGUGCAGAAGAAGAAAGUGGAAUUCCAAGUGUAGCGGUGAAAUGCGUAGAGAUUUGGAGGAACACCAGUGGCGAAGGCGACUUUCUGGUCUGUAACUGACGCUGAAGCGCGAAAGCGUGGGGAGCCAACAGGAUUAGAUACCCUGGUAGUCCACCCCCGUAACGAUGAGUGCUAAGUGUUUAGGGGGGUUCCGCCCCUUAGUGCUGCAGCUAACGCAUUAAGCACUCCGCC
rnacentral:rRNA from 1 species